GAUGAACGCUGGCGGCGUGCCUAAUACAUGCAAGUCGAGCGAACAGACGAGGAGCUUGCUCCUCUGACGUUAGCGGCGGACGGGUGAGUAACACGUGGAUAACCUACCUAUAAGACUGGGAUAACUUCGGGAAACCGGAGCUAAUACCGGAUAAUAUAUUGAACCGCAUGGUUCAAUAGUGAAAGACGGUUUUGCUGUCACUUAUAGAUGGAUCCGCGCCGCAUUAGCUAGUUGGUAAGGUAACGGCUUACCAAGGCGACGAUGCGUAGCCGACCUGAGAGGGUGAUCGGCCACACUGGAACUGAGACACGGUCCAGACUCCUACGGGAGGCAGCAGUAGGGAAUCUUCCGCAAUGGGCGAAAGCCUGACGGAGCAACGCCGCGUGAGUGAUGAAGGUCUUCGGAUCGUAAAACUCUGUUAUUAGGGAAGAACAAAUGUGUAAGUAACUUUGCACGUCUUGACGGUACCUAAUCAGAAAGCCACGGCUAACUACGUG
rnacentral:rRNA from 1 species